rnacentral:rRNA from 1 species
UGUCGUAACAAGGUUUCCGUAGGUGAACCUGCGGAAGGAUCAUUAUGGUUCAUCCAAACCACACGUGAAUUGUCACCUCGUGCGUUUCGUUUCACGACGGAGCGCGCGAACCCUCCCAAUACACCUUAAACCAGAGUAUGAAGCAGUAGAGUAUGAGUCAAUCUUUGACACUGCCUUUAACCGUAACAACUCUCAACAAUGGAUGUCUUGGCUCUCGCAACGAUGAAGAACGCAGCGAAAUGCGAUACGUAGUGUGAUUUGCACUAUCCGUGAACCAUCGAAUCUUUGAACGCAUAUUGCACUCGAGGCUUCGGCCAAGAGUAUGCCUGCCUGAGCGUCAGUGUGUACCCUCACCCCAAUUAAUUUUGGGAUGGAAAUGGACGUCCGAUCGGAACCUGCGAAGGUUUCGAUGGGUCGGCUGAAAGGCAGUCGCGGUGCGACCGAUCGCACGAUCAGCGUGAUAGACCUAUUCUUAGGACGGAUCGCUCGGUCAGAUCGGUAACACUUCGAUCCGAAUACUGGUGUGUGUCUCGACUCCGCGGGCCCUCGCGGCUGGUGGAAUAAGAGCCGUGCCAUCUCACCUUUUGACCUCAGUUCAGACAAGGCUACCCGCCGAAUUUAAGCAUAUUACUAAGCGGAGGAAAAGAAAAUAACAAUGAUUCCCCUAGUAACGGCGAGCGAACCGGGAAGAGCCCAACUUGAAAAUCUGGAGGCUUGUCCUUCCGAAUUGUAGUCUAGAGAAGUGCCAUCUGCGGCUGGCUGGUCGAAAGUUCCCUGGAAAGGGACGUCAGAGAGGGUGAGAGCCCCGUCACGAUCGGUUAAGUCGCUCCACGAUGCGCUUUCGAGGAGUCGGGUUGUUUGGGAAUGCAGCCCUAAGCGGGAGGUAAAUUCCUUCUAAGGCUAAAUAUUGGCGAGAGACCGAUAGCGAACAAGUACCGCGAGGGAAAGAUGAAAAGACCUUUGAAAAGAGAGUUAAAAAGUACCUGAAAUUGUUGAGGGGGAAGCGAUUGAAACCAGCGGGUGCUCCUCGGGUAGGGUCAAACCACACGCCGAGGGCUGGUCAACGUGGGUUAGUCGGGCGGGAUAUUACGCUUGAUUGACCGAGGACUCGACGUUGGCGGAAUGGUUUCAAUCGGCCCGUCUAGAAACACGGACCAAGGAGUCUAACAUGUGUGCGAGUCGGUGGGUGACAAACCCACGAGGCGCAAGUAACCUGACUGAGCAAAUUCGACCGACCAUGAUCUUCUGUGAAAGGUUUGAGUGCGAGCAUACAUGCUGGGACCCGAAAGAUGGUGAACUAUGCGUGA